rnacentral:rRNA from 1 species
GAUCGUAAGGACAUGUGGAGCGCUUAGAAGUGAGAAUGCCGGUGUGAGUAGCGAAAGACGGGUGAGAAUCCCGUCCACCGAUUGACUAAGGUUUCCAGAGGAAGGCUCGUCCGCUCUGGGUUAGUCGGGUCCUAAGCUGAGGCCGACAGGCGUAGGCGAUGGAUAACAGGUUGAUAUUCCUGUACCACCUAUAAUCGUUUUAAUCGAUGGGGGGACGCAGUAGGAUAGGCGAAGCGUGCGAUUGGAUUGCACGUCUAAGCAGUAAGGCUGAGUAUUAGGCAAAUCCGGUACUCAUUAAGGCUGAGCUGUGAUGGGGAGAAGACAUUGUGUCUUCGAGUCGUUGAUUUCACACUGCCGAGAAAAGCCUCUAGAUAGAAAAUAGGUGCCCGUACCGCAAACCGACACAGGUAGUCAAGAUGAGAAUUCUAAGGUGAGCGAGCGAACUCUCGUUAAGGAACUCGGCAAAAUGACCCCGUAACUUCGGGAGAAGGGGUGCUCUUUAGGGUUAACGCCCAGAAGAGCCGCAGUGAAUAGGCCCAAGCGACUGUUUAUCAAAAACACAGGUCUCUGCUAAACCGUAAGGUGAUGUAUAGGGGCUGACGCCUGCCCGGUGCUGGAAGGUUAAGAGGAGUGGUUAGCUUCUGCGAAGCUACGAAUCGAAGCCCCAGUAAACGGCGGCCGUAACUAUAACGGUCCUAAGGUAGCGAAAUUCCUUGUCGGGUAAGUUCCGACCCGCACGAAAGGCGUAACGAUUUGGGCACUGUCUCAACGAGAGACUCGGUGAAAUCAUAGUACCUGUGAAGAUGCAGGUUACCCGCGACAGGACGGAAAGACCCCGUGGAGCUUUACUGUAGCCUGAUAUUGAAAUUCGGCACAGCUUGUACAGGAUAGGUAGGAGCCUUUGAAACGUGAGCGCUAGCUUACGUGGAGGCGCUGGUGGGAUACUACCCUAGCUGUGUUGGCUUUCUAACCCGCACCACUUAUCGUGGUGGGAGACAGUGUCAGGCGGGCAGUUUGACUGGGGCGGUCGCCUCCUAAAAGGUAACGGAGGCGCUCAAAGGUUCCCUCAGAAUGGUUGGAAAUCAUUCAUAGAGUGUAAAGGCAUAAGGGAGCUUGACUGCGAGACCUACAAGUCGAGCAGGGUCGAAAGACGGACUUAGUGAUCCGGUGGUUCCGCAUGGAAGGGCCAUCGCUCAACGGAUAAAAGCUACCCCGGGGAUAACAGGCUUAUCUCCCCCAAGAGUUCACAUCGACGGGGAGGUUUGGCACCUCGAUGUCGGCUCAUCGCAUCCUGGGGCUGUAGUCGGUCCCAAGGGUUGGGCUGUUCGCCCAUUAAAGCGGUACGCGAGCUGGGUUCAGAACGUCGUGAGACAGUUCGGUCCCUAUCCGUCGUGGGCGUAGGAAAUUUGAGAGGAGCUGUCCUUAGUACGAGAGGACCGGGAUGGACAUACCUCUGGUGUACCAGUUGUCGUGCCAACGGCAUAGCUGGGUAGCUAUGUGUGGACGGGAUAAGUGCUGAAAGCAUCUAAGCAUGAAGCCCCCCUCAAGAUGAGAUUUCCCAACUUCGGUUAUAAGAUCCCUCAAAGAUGAUGAGGUUAAUAGGUUCGAGGUGGAAGCAUGGUGACAUGUGGAGCUGACGAAUACUAA